rnacentral:rRNA from 1 species
GGGGGGUAGAAUUCCAGGUGUAGCGGUGAAAUGCGUAGAGAUCUGGAGGAAUACCGGUGGCGAAGGCGGCCCCCUGGACAAAGACUGACGCUCAGGUGCGAAAGCGUGGGGAGCAAACAGGAUUAGAUACCCUGGUAGUCCACGCCGUAAACGAUGUCUACUUGGAGGUUGUGCCCUUGAGGCGUGGCUUCCGGAGCUAACGCGUUAAGUAGACCGCCUGGGGAGUACGGCCGCAAGGUUAAAACUCAAAUGAAUUGACGGGGGCCCGCACAAGCGGUGGAGCAUGUGGUUUAAUUCGAUGCAACGCGAAGAACC